AUGGUGAUGACAAUCUUGACAUGGAUGAUGAGGGCUUUGUUGCGAAGGGAAGAAGUGGAAAUUAUAACAAUGCAGAGGAUGUGUCAAUAUGCACCGCAUGGAAGAAAAUCUCUCAAGAUGCAUCCGUUGGAAGCGACCAAACGAGAGCUCAAGGAUGAGGAGAAGUGGAAAACUAGAGAGACUUUUGAUGCUUCAAAGAAGAGUGUGGUGAUUGAGGAUGAAGAAGAUGUCUCCGGUGAGGAUAGGAGCCCCACUCCUCACUCCGUGACAAAAUCUUAUAGGCCCGAUGGAAACAAGAAAGUGAAGGGAACCAAGGUCGGAGACAAUGAUCUCAAGGAAGGAUUUGAUGCCAUUGUCAUGGCGAGGAAAGAGUAUGCCGAAGAAAAAAUAAUGUUGAAGCUCAAGGAAAUAGAGGAGAGGAGUGAGGCCGAGCGAGGUAGGGCGGCGGCCGAAGAGAAGAGGGCGGCGGCUGAGGAGAGGAAGGUGGAACUAGAGGAGAAAAAUCCGUGGCCGAGGAGAUGA
rnacentral:rRNA from 1 species